rnacentral:rRNA from 1 species
UACGAGGGGUGCAAGCGUUGCUCGGAAUUAUUGGGCGUAAAGGGUAGGUAGGUGGUCUCAUUUGUCAGGGGUGAAAGCCUUGGGCUUAACCCAAGAAGUGCCUCUGAAACGGUGAGACUGGAGUCCUGGAGAGGGUCGUGGAAUUCCCGGUGUAGCGGUGAAAUGCGUAGAGAUCGGGAGGAACACCAGAGGCGAAGGCGGCGACCUGGACAGGUACUGACACUGAACUACGAAAGCGUGGGGAGCAAACGGG